CUUGGCCAGACCCUAUGCUGCAAGACUGUUACCCAGUGUAACCCAGAGUAUUUACUGCAACCCCUUUCCUGGGGCAUUGCCUGAAGCUCAUUACAUCUCCUAUUUUCCACACCCGAAGACUGACUCAAGACAGGAUCAAAAGUCAAGGUGCCGACAGAGGUCAGAAGGGAGCAUAAGGUCCUCCGUCCCCACCCUCCAACCCAGACUGGAGUUCCAGCAGUUGUAAGCCAGCUGACAUGGGUACUGGCAACUGAACUUCGUGUUCCUCUGGAAGAGCUGUAAGUACUCUUCAACACUGAGCCAUCUCUCCGGCCCUGACCUGUUUCUUACUUAUCUUGUCAGCUCAUAAACCUGUACAACGUACCUCUCAUUUACCAAAGAAAAGUUUCUUAGAUAAAAGUACGUCAAAAUAUUUUAUGAAGUCUUUUAUAUCCUUUGAAACAAUAGCUUCAAACGCGACCCAAAGGCUUAUAGUUCUAUAAAGAUACUCACACUUGACUGAGAUUCUCUCUUGAAGCUUGCUCCUGCCCUUCAGUAUAUAUAUGUACAACCAGCCGCAGAGACCUCAUGCUCACUUUUUCUUCUGAAUUAUUUGACACUGAAUAUAGGAUCUCAUGCAUGCUAGCAAGUACUCUGUAUGUAUCUAGACACUCAUGCACAUUCUUUUAAAUUUUAACAUGGACUAUCACUCACUUGCCUCAGCUGGAUUUGAGUUUGGGGUCCUUCUGCCUCAUGCUCCUCCUGAAUAUAUGGCAUUACAGGCCUGAGCUGCCAGGUCCACCCCAACUUUGUCUUAAUAAAUUCCAACUUUGAUUCAUUCGGAAGUUCUCUGUGUGCCUUAAGAGCCAGGGUAAUCCUGAAUGAGUUCUCAGGAGAGCAUCUCCAGGCUGCCAAUGAAGACUGGCCACAUUCCUGAGAACUGACUUUCUGCAAAGCCUCCCAGAGGGCCCAAAUUUAGAACACACGAAGUAAGAAAAGAUGCCUUCUCU
rnacentral:lncRNA from 1 species